GGCCUGGUGGUGUAAUGGUAGCGUACCUGCUAUACUUAAUCCUAGUAGGACAUGCUUGGCGGGAGAUCCUUGUUCGACUCAAGGUCAGGCCA